rnacentral:rRNA from 1 species
CCUACGGGACGCAGCAGUGGGGAAUAUUGCACAAUGGGGGAAACCCUGAUGCAGCGACGCCGCGUGAGUGAAGAAGUAUUUCGGUAUGUAAAGCUCUAUCAGCAGGGAAGAUAAUGACGGUACCUGAGUAAGAAGCCCCGGCUAACUACGUGCCAGCAGCCGCGGUAAUACGUAGGGGGCGAGCGUUAUCCGGAUUUACUGGGUGUAAAGGGAGCGCAGGCGGCGUGGCAAGUCAGAUGUGAAAACCCGGGGCCCAACCCCGGGACUGCAUUUGAAACUGCCAUGCUGGAGUGCCGGAGAGGCAA